rnacentral:rRNA from 1 species
UACGUAGGGUGCGAGCGUUAAUCGGAAUUACUGGGCGUAAAGCGUGCGCAGGCGGUUCGCUGUGUCCGAUGUGAAAGCCCCGGGCUCAACCUGGGAAUUGCGCUUGUGACUGGCGUGCUGGAGUGUGGCAGAGGGAGGUGGAAUUCCACGUGUAGCAGUGAAAUGCGUAGAGAUGUGGAGGAACACCGAUGGCGAAGGCAGCCUCCUGGGCCAGCACUGACGCUCAUGCACGAAAGCGUGGGGAGCAAACAGG